GACUAUUCCUCAAUGUGGGACAGGGUUAAUGAGGGUUUAUACUGUUGAAACCUCCUGACUUCCUCAAUAUUCCUCAAUGUGGGACAGGGUUAAUGAGGGUUUAUACUGUUGGAAACCUCCUGACUUCCUCAAUACUCCUCAAUGUGGGACAGGGUUAAUGAGGGUUUAUACUGUUGGAAACCUCCUGACUUCCUCAAUACUCCUCAAUGUGGGACAGGUUUAAUGAGGGUUUAUACUGUUGGAAACCUCCUGACUUCCUCAAUACUCCUCAAUGUGGGACAGGUUUAAUGAGGGUUUAUACUGUUGGAAACCUCCUGACUUCCUCAAUACUCCUCAAUGUGGGACAGGUUUAAUGAGGGUUUAUACUGUUGGAAACCUCCUGACUUCCUCAAUACUCCUCAAUGUGGGACAGGUUUAAUGAGGGUUUAUACUGUUGGAAACCUCCUGACUUCCUGAAUAUUCCUCAAUUUGGGACAGAUUUCCGGUGUUUGAACUGUUGCACAGUCAGCACCUGCUGUUUUCAGAAGAGACUACAACAACUCAAAUGUAGCAUCUCUAGAUGAAACAUGAAUCCAAACGGUCAUUAAUGAUUUGCAUCUCCUUAAUCUGACCUUUGACUGACUGCUUUAUUCCAUUGUGACAGAUGCAAACUUAGCUCAGGCAAAAACAUUAAUGAUUUAAGUAAUCACUGAUAAUCAAAAGCGGUGAAGUAAGGAUUCAUACAUGCUGUAUAUAACCUCUCCCUCUUCCUCUCUCUCCCUCUUCCUC